AUGUAGGAUGAUCAGAAAGCAGAGGAUGAGCUGGCUAAGAAGAGGGCUGCGUUCCUCCUCAAACAGCAGCGUAAGGCCGAAGAGGCACGAAUACGUAAGCAGCAGGUGGAGGCGGGGUCAGAGCUCAAACGAGAUGAAGCCAGACGAAAAGCUGAGGAAGAGCGUGUGCGUAAAGAGGAAGAAAAGGCUCGGAGGGAGUUGAUCAAACAGGAGUACCUGAGCAGGAAGCAGCAAGAACUUCUGGAGGAACAGGGUGUGACCAAACCACGCCCACGUAACAGGAGGCCCCGCCCUAAAUCACUGCAUCGCGCUGAAUCUUCCUGUUCUGCUCCGGUUAGUCUUUGUUCUGCUCCCUCCGGAUCGUCUCUCUCAUUGGCCUCUGCUGCUACUGAAGGUGACAGUGUGGCGUCAGGAGGGGCCAGUUCACACAGGUGAG